AAAAACCAGCCUGCCUAGGAACAACGAUGAGACCCAAUAAGGAGCAGGAGACCCCAGACCUAAAAAUUACUAUUGGUCUGAACUACCGCAUGAGGGGCAGGAAACUUAAUUUGAAAAAGCUGUAAUUGCCAAGGGAUUUCUUUGUUUGGGGUCCCUCUUCGGAGGCACCCAACUCAAGCUGUAACUACUGCACGCGUGUCAUUACAAUUUAUUUAUUUAAUUUGCCUUGAUUUGGCUCCGAACUUUUCAGCGGGAACCUAGGGUCAGACCCUGCUCCAGUUGUAAUUACUGCACAUACAUCGCUAAAAUUUACACCCAGGGUGAAGAGAACCAACGGGACGCCGCUGGAUCCACGGGUGGUGGUGUGUCUCUGCAAGCGAAGCAACACUGGGCCAGCUCUACUCUUCGGUGAGAGACUUUAAAGGCUUCCCAGCUAGAAGUGAAAAUAUAAUGUAAAUAUAUGUUAUUAAAUGAGUUUGCAACUGU